CAAGGGCGCUUCAUUCGCUUACUGUUUCCUCAUUUAUGUAUAUUUUGAGGUUGACUGCGGUCGACAGUUUAUUUACAUGUACAAGUCGGUUCUGUUAGCUGCGUUCUUUUUAAUUAAUAAAUUUUUGAAUUUUGUUAAUUAUUUAUGAGGAGCUAAUGAAGUUGUAUAAGAAGAUUUAUAUUGUUUACGCUUAUAAAUUGAGACGCCUGAAGAAGGCCAAAUAAAAUGGUCGAAACGUUGCGGAAUCAA
rnacentral:lncRNA from 1 species